rnacentral:rRNA from 1 species
UACGUAGGGUGCGAGCGUUAAUCGGAAUUACUGGGCGUAAAGCGUGCGCAGGCGGUUCGUUAAGUCAGAUGUGAAAGCCCCGGGCUCAACCUGGGAACUGCAUUUGUGACUGCACGGCUAGAGUGUGUCAGAGGGGGGUAGAAUUCCACGUGUAGCAGUGAAAUGCGUAGAUAUGUGGAGGAAUACCGAUGGCGAAGGCAGCCCCCUGGGAUAACACUGACGCUCAUGCACGAAAGCGUGGGGAGCAAACAGG